GAUGAACGCUCGCGGCGUGCCUAAUACAUGCAAGUCGAGCGAACAGACGAGGAGCUUGCUCCUCUGACGUUAGCGGCGGACGGGUGAGUAACACGUGGAUAACCUACCUAUAAGACUGGGGUAACUUCGGGAAACCGGAGCUAAUACCGGAUAAUAUAUUGAACCGCAUGGUUCAAUAGUGAAAGACGGUUUUGCUGUCACUUAUAGAUGGAUCCGCGCCGCAUUAGCUAGUUGGUAAGGUAACGGCUUACCAAGGCAACGAUGCGUAGCCGACCUGAGAGGGUGAUCGGCCACACUGGAACUGAGACACGGUCCAGACUCCUACGGGAGGCAGCAGUAGGGAAUCUUCCGCAAUGGGCGAAAGCCUGACGGAGCAACGCCGCGUGAGUGAUGAAGGUCUUCGGAUCGUAAAACUCUGUUAUUAGGGAAGAACAAAUGUGUAAGUAACUAUGCACGUCUUGACGGUACCUAAUCAGAAAGCCACGGCUAACUACGUG
rnacentral:rRNA from 1 species